AGGAGCCCAGAGCCUGAAUCAGCAUGUGUGUUAGUGGAAGCGUCUGGAAAGGCGCGCGAUACAGGGUGACAGCCCCGUACACAAAAGCGCAUGUGCUGUGAGCUCGAUGAGUAGGGCGGGACACGUGAUAUCCUGUCUGAAUAUGGGGGGACCAUCCUCCAAGGCUAAAUACUCCUGACUGACCGAUAGUGAACCAGUACCGUGAGGGAAAGGCGAAAAGAACCCCGGCGAGGGGAGUGAAAAAGAACCUGAAACCGUGUACGUACAAGCAGUGGGAGCCCCACCACUAAGCCAGUGGUGAACUCCACAUACGCAUCCUUUGCUGAGGAUACGGUUAACGGAGCGAAAGCGACGUUCAACCUCAAAAGAAGCAGAGGGGGCUUAGUGGUGGGGUGACUGCGUACCUUUUGUAUAAUGGGUCAGCGACUUAUAUUCUGUAGCAAGGUUAACCGAAUAGGGGAGCCGCAGGGAAACCGAGUCUUAACCGGGCGUUAAGUUGCAGGGUAUAGACCCGAAACC
rnacentral:rRNA from 1 species